UACGGGGGGGGCAAGCGUUGUUCGGAAUUACUGGGCGUAAAGAGUGUGUAGGCGGUGCUCCAAGUCUGGUGUGAAAUCUCCCGGCUCAACUGGGAGGGUGCGCUAGAAACUGGAAUGCUAGAGGAUGGGAGAGGUAAGCGGAAUUCCUGGUGUAGCGGUGAAAUGCGUAGAUAUCAGGAGGAACACCUGUGGUGUAGACAGCUUACUGGACCAUUUCUGACGCUGAGACACGAAAGCGUGGGUAGCAAACAGG
rnacentral:rRNA from 1 species